rnacentral:lncRNA from 1 species
AGCCCACCCGUUUUUUGGCCAUUUUUCCGCUGGGGGGUCUUGGGACCCCGACCUUCGGGGGCUGAUUUUUGGGCGCGGCUGUGCCCGUGGCCUAUUUUUCGCACACAGAGGCCGCCCGCCAAGUAUGGUGCCAUUCCGAGUCCCGCGGACGAACUUCGCCCACACCCCCCACCAAGGCUAUAGCCCACCCGUUUUUUGGCCAUUUUUCCGCUGGGGGGUCUUGGGACCCCGACCUUCGGGGGAUGAUUUUUGGGCGCGGCUGUGCCCGUGGCCUAUUUUUGGCACACGGAGGCCGCCCGCCAAGUCAGGGGCCAUUCCGAGUCCCGCGGACGAACUUCGCCCACGCCGCCCACCAAGGCUAUAGCCCACCCGUUUUUUGGCCAUUUUUCCGCUGGGGGAUCUUGGGACCCCGACCUUCGGGGGCUGAUUUUUGGGCGCGGCUGUGCCCGUGGCCUAUUUUUGGCACACAGAGGCCGCCCGCCAAGUAUGGUGCCAUUCCGAGUCCCGCGGAUGAACUUCGCCCACGCCGCCCACCAAGGCUAUAGCCCACCCGUUUUUUGGCCAUUUUUCCGCUGGGGGGUCUUGGGACCCCGACCUUCGGGUGCUGAUUUUAGGGCGCGGCUGUGCCCGUGGCCUAUUUUUGGCACACAGAGGCCGCCCGCCAAGUAUGGUGCCAUUCCGAGUCCCGCGGACGAACUUCGCCCACGCCGCCCACCAAGGCUAUAGCCCACCCGUUUUUUGGCCAUUUUUCCGCUGGGGGGUCUUGGGACCCCGACCUUCGGGUGCUGAUUUUUGGGCGCGGCUGUGCCCGUGGCCUAUUUUUUGGCACACAGAGGGCCGCCCGCCAAGUCAGGGUGCCAUUCCGAGUCCCGCGGACGAAGUUCGCCCACGCCCCCCACCAAGGCUAUAGCCCACCCGUUUUUUGGCCAUUUUUCCGCUGGGGGGUCUUGGGACCCCGACCUUCGGGGGCUGAUUUUUGGGCGCGGCUGUGCCCGUGGCCUAUUUUUGGCACACGGAGGCCGCCCGCCAAGUCAGGGGCCAUUCCGAGUCCCGCGGACGAAGUUCGCCCACGCCCCCCACCAAGGCUAUAGCCCACCCGUUUUUUGGCCAUUUUUCCGCUGGGGGGUCUUGGGACCCCAACCUUCGGGGGCUGAUUUUUGAGCGCGGCUGUGCCCGUGGCCUAUUUUUGGCACACGGAGGCCGCCCGCCAAGACAGGGGCCAUUCCGAGUCCCGCGGACGAACUUCGCCCACGCCGCCCACCAAGGCUAUAGCCCACCCGUUUUUUGGCCAUUUUUCCGCUUGGGGGUCUUGGGACCCCGACCUUCGGGGGCUGAUUUUUGAGCGCGGCUGUGCCCGUGGCCUAUUUUUGGUACACGGAGGCCGCCCGCCAAGUCUGGUGCCAUUCCGAGUCCCGCGGACGAACUUCGCCCACGCCGCCCACCAAGGCUAUAGCCCACCCGUUUUUUGACCAUUUUUCCGCUGGGGGGUCUUGGGACCCCGACCUUCGGGGGCUGAUUUUUGGGCGCGGCUGUGCCCGUGGCCUAUUUUUGGCACACAGAGGCCGCCCGCCAAGUAUGGUGCCAUUCCGAGUCCCGCGGACGAACUUCGCCCACGCCCCCCACCAAGGCUAUAGCCCACCCGUUUUUUGGCCAUUUUUCCGCUGGGGGGUCUUGGGACCCCGACCUUCGGGGGCUGAUUUUUGGGCGCGGCUGUGCCCGUGGCCUAUUUUUGGCACACAGAGGCCGCCCGCCAAGUAUGGUGCCAUUCCGAGUCCCGCGGACGAACUUCGCCCACGCCGCCCACCAAGGCUAUAGCCCACCCGUUUUUUGGCCAUUUUUCCGCUGGGGGGUCUUGGGACCCCGACCUUCGGGGGCUGAUUUUUGGGCGCGGCUGUGCCCGUGGCCUAUUUUUGGCACACGGAGGCCGCCCGCCAAGUCAGGGGCCAUUCCGAGUCCCGCGGACGAAGUUCGCCCACGCCCCACACCAAGGCCAUAGCCCACCCGUUUUUUGGCCAUUUUUCCGCUGGGGGGUCUUGGGACCCCGACCUUCGGGGGCUGAUUUUUGGGCGCGGCUGUACCCGUGGCCCAGUUUUGGCACACGGAGGCCGCCCGCCAAGUCAGGGGCCAUUCCGAGUCCCGCGGAUGAAGUUCGCCCACGCCCCCCACCAAGGCUAUAGCCCACCCGUUUUUUGGCCAUUUUUCCACUGGGGGGUCUUGGGACCCCGACCUUCGGGGGCUGAUUUUUGUACGCGGCUGUGCCCGUGGCCUAUUUUUGGCACACAGAGGCCGCCCGCCAAGUAUGGUGCCAUUCCGAGUCCCGCGGACGAACUUCGCCCACGCCCCCCACCAAGGAUAUAGCCCACCCGUUUUUUGGCCAUUUUUCCGCUGGGGGGUCUUGGGACCCCGACCUUCAGGGGCUGAUUUUUGGGCGCGGCUGUGCCCGUGGCCUAUUUUUGGCACACGGAGGCCGCCCGCCAAGUCAGGGGCCAUUCCGAGUCCCGCGGACGAAGUUCGCCCACGCCCCCCACCAAGGCUAUAGCCAACCCGUUUUUUGGCCAUUUUUCCGCUGGGGGGUCUUGGGACCCCGACCUUCGGGGGCUGAUUUUUGGGCGCGGCUGUGCCCGUGGCCUAUUUUUGGCACACAGAGGCCGCCCGCCAAGUAUGGUGCCAUUCCGAGUCCCGCGGACGAACUUCGCCCACGCCGCCCACCAAGGCUAUAGCCCACCCGUUUUUUGGCCAUUUUUCCGCUGGGGGGUCAUGGGACCCCGACCUUCGGGGGCUGAUUUUUGGGCGCGGCUGUGCCCGUGGCCUAUUUUUGGCACACAGAGGCCGCCCGCCAAGUAUGGUGCCAUUCCGAGUCCCGCGGACGAACUUCGCCCACGCCCCCCACCAAGGCUAUAGCCCACCCGUUUUUUGGCCAUUUUUCCGCUGGGGGGUCUUGGGACCCCGACCUUCGGGGGCUGAUAUUUGGGCGCGGCUGUGCCCGUGGCCCAGUUUUGGCACACGGAGGCCGCCCGCCAAGUCGGGGGCCAUUCCGAGUCCCGCGGAUGAAGUUCGCCCACGCCCCCCACCAAGGCUAUAGCCCACCCGUUUUUUGGCCAUUUUUCCGCUGGGUGGUCUUGGGACCCCGACCUUCGGGGGCUGAUUUUUGGGCGCGGCUGUGCCCGUGGCCUAUUUUUGGCACACAGAGGCCGCCCGCCAAGUAUGGUGCCAUUCCGAGUCCCGCGGACGAACUUCGCCCACGCCGCCCACCAAUUCUAUAGCCCACCCGUUUUUUGGCCAUUUUUCCGCUGGGGGGUCUUGGGACCCCGACCUUCGGGGGCUGAUUUUUGGGCGCGGCUGUGCCCGUGGCCUAUUUUUGGCACACGGAGGCCGCCCGCCAAGUCAGGGGCCAUUCCGAGUCCCGCGGACGAAGUUCGCCCACGCCGUCCACCAAGGCUAUAGCCCACCCGUUUUUUGGCCAUUUUUCCACUGGGGGGUCUUGGGACACCGACUUUCGGGUGCUGAUUUUUGGGCGCGGCUGUGCCCGUGGCCUAUUUUUGGCACACAGAGGCCGCCCACCAAGUAUGGUGCCAUUCCGAGUCCCGCGGACGAACUUCGCCCACGCCCCCCACCAAGGCUAUAGCCCACCCGUUUUUUGGCCAUUUUUCCGCUGGGGGGUCUUGGGACCCCGACCUUCGGGGGCUGAUUUUUGGGCGCGGCUGUGCCCGUGGCCUAUUUUUGGCACACGGAGGCCGCCCGCCAAGUCAGGGGCCAUUCCGAGUCCCGCGGACGAACUUCGCCCACGCCGCCCACCAAGGCUAUAGCCCACCCGUUUUUUGGCCAUUUUUCCGCUGGGGGGUCUUGGGACCCCGACCUUCGGGGGCUGAUUUUUGGGCGCGGCUGUGCCCGUGGCCUAUUUUUGGCACACAGAGGCCGCCCGCCAAGUACGGUGCCAUUCCGAGUCCCGCGGACGAACUUCGCCCACGCCGCCCACCAAGGCUGUAGCCCACCCGUUUUUUGGCCAUUUUUCCGCUGGGGGGUCUUGGGACCCCGACCUUCGGGGGCUGAUUUUUGGGCGCGGCUGUGCCCGUGGCCUAUUUUUGGCACACGGAGGCCGCCCGCCAAGUCAGGGGCCAUUCCGACUCCCGCGGACGAAGUUCGCCCACGCCCCCCACCAAGGCUAUAGCCCACCCGUUUUUGGCCAUUUUUCCGCUGGGGGGUCUUGGGACCCCGACCUUCGGGGGCUGAUUUUUGGGCGCGGCUGUGCCCGUGGCCUAUUUUUAGCACACAGAGGCCGCCCGCCAAGUAUGGUGCCAUUCCGAGUCCCGCGGACGAACUUCGCCCACGCCCCCCACCAAGGCUAUAGCCCACCCGUUUUUUGGCCAUUUCUCCGCUGGUGGGUCUUGGGACCCCGACCUUCGGGGGCUGAUUUUUGGGCGCGGCUGUGCCCGUGGCCUAUUUUUGGCACACGGAGGCCGCCCGCCAAGUCAGGGGCCAUUCCGAGUCCCGCGGACGAAGUUCGCCCACGCCCCCCACCAAGGCUAUAGCCCACCCGUUUUUUGGCCAUUUUUCCACUGGGGGGUCUUGGGACCCCGACCUUCGGGGGCUGAUUUUUGGGCGCGGCUGUGCCCGUGGCCUAUUUUUGGCACACAGAGGCCGCCCGCCAAGUAUGGUGCCAUUCCGAGUCCCGCGGACGAACUUCGCCCACACCCCCAACAAGGCUAUAGCCCACCCGUUUUUUGGCCAUUUUUCCGCUGGUGGGUCUUGGGACCCCGACCUUCGGGGGCUGAUUUUUGGGCGCGGCUGUGCCCGUGCCCUAUUUUUGGCACACGGAGGCCGCCCGCCAAGUCAGGGGCCAUUCCGAGUCCCGCGGACGAAGUUCGCCCACGCCCCCCACCAAGGCUAUAGCCCACCCGUUUUUUGGCCAUUUUUCCACUGGGGGGUCUUGGGACCCCGACCUUCGGGGGCUGAUUUUUGUGCGCGGCUGUGCCCGUGGCCUAUUUUUGGCACACAGAGGCCGCCCGCCAAGUAUGGUGCCAUUCCGAGUCCCGCGGACGAACUUCGCCCACGCCCCCCACCAAGGCUAUAGCCCACCCGUUUUUUGGCCAUUUUUUCGCUGGGGGGUCUUGGGACCCCGACCUUCGGGGGCUGAUUUUUGGGCGCGGCUGUGCCCGUGGCCUAUUUUUGGUACCCGGAGGCCGCCCGCCAAGUCAGGGGCCAUUCCGAGUCCCGCGGACGAAGUUCGCCCACGCCCCCCACCAAGGCUAUAGCCCACCCGUUUUUUGGCCAUUUUUCCGCUGGGGGGUCUUGGGACCUCGACCUUCGGGGGCUGAUUUUUGGGCGCGGCUGUGCCCGUGUCCUAUUUUUGGCACACGGAGGCCGCCCGCCAAGUCAGGUGCCAUUCCGAGUCCCGCGGACGAAGUUUGCCCACGCCCCCCACCAAGGCUAUAGCCCACCCGUUUUUUGGCCAUUUUUCCGCUGGGGGGUCUUGGGACCCCGACCUUCGGGGGCUGAUUUUUGGGCGCGGCUGUGCCCGUGGCCUAUUUUUGGCACACAGAGGCCGCCCGCCAAGUAUGGUGCCAUUCCGAGUCCCGCGGACGAACUUCGCCCACGCCGCCCACCAAGGCUAUAGCCCACCCGUUUUUUGACCAUUUUUCCGCUGGGGGGUCUUGGGACCCCGACCUUCGGGGGCUGAUUUUUGGGCGCGGCUGUGCCCGUGGCCUAUUUUUGGUACCCGGAGGCCGCCCGCCAAGUCAGGGGCCAUUCCGAGUCCCGCGGACGAAGUUCGCCCUCUCCCCCCACCAAGGCUAUAGCCCACCCGUUUUUUGGCCAUUUUUCCGCUGGGGGGUCUUGGGACCUCGACCUUCGGGGGCUGAUUUUUGGGCGCGGCUGUGCCCGUGUCCUAUUUUUGGCACACGGAGGCCGCCCGCCAAGUCAGGGGCCAUUCCGAGUCCCGCGGACGAAGUUCGCCCACGCCCCCCACCAAGGCUAUAGCCCAC